GUGUUGAAUUGAUUGAGACGCCCGGCGCUAGUCAAGUUUUGCACGUUGAUAUAUUUCAACGUUACAGUUUUUGCUAAAGACAGCCGAUGUGUUGUUUGCUUUAUUCUUUCGCAAAAAUGUCAACAAAUGAGGAUUUUGCCCCAAACACUAAUGUGGAAAAUAAAAAUCCUGAAGAACUUUAUGUGGUCAUUGAAUACUGUGAUGCCUGAGGUGGAUGGAACAAGAUGAAUUCACUCCGUAAAGACAUCCAGAAUGAGUUUCCUGAAGCUAAAGUUGUAGACAUUAUUAGCAAGACUUUUGGUGCCUUUGAAGUUUCUGUCAAUGGUCAGUUUAUUCACUCUCGACUUGAGUCUGGUUCUAAUGCUGUCCAUGAACAGAUUUUAUGUAUAUUGCGUGAUGCCAAAGCAGGUAAACCAAUCCCUGUCAUUUCAAAAGAUGAAUAGGUCUGCUGAACUCUAUAAAGCUAAUAUAUCUACAAGAAAAUGCUGCAGUUAUGUUACACCUUAAACUCCCUGCAAUUUCAUUUGAUGCUUCCUUUAUAAUUUAAUACAUAUUAAAGCCCUUGACUAUCAUACUUUUCUGUAUCUUCAUGACGCAGACAUAUAGCUAUGAUAUGGACUGGCUUACAUCCCAGUAUCAUGAUCUACAUCGUACAACCUGUCUUGUUAUAGUGAAGAUAUUUAUCCAGUACGUAUUGCUACCCUUACAUGUUAUCCUUCUCAAUAUGUGUCCAGUCAACAACAAAAACACACUUCAUUGUUUACCUUGUUUAGUGAUGAGAUGUCUUGUGAUGUUUGAAUUGCAGUGUAUGUUGUAAGUGGCAUCUAAAUGUACUGGUUAAUGUUGGGUAGCCUGUUGUGGUAGCAGUGAUGUGUGUGUGUGUAUAUGUAUGUAUAUAUAUAUAUAUAUAUAU
rnacentral:lncRNA from 1 species